rnacentral:ncRNA from 1 species
UGCUAGGGGUGCAUUAUUGCUGAGAGAUGAUUUCAUCGACCCUUAAUACUUGAACCGGGUAAUACCGGCGUAAGGAAGCAUUUUUAUA